UACGAAGGGGGCUAGCGUUGCUCGGAAUUACUGGGCGUAAAGCGCACGUAGGUGGCUUCUUAAGUCGGGGGUGAAAUCCUGGAGCUCAACUCCAGAACUGCCUUCGAUACUGGGAAGCUCGAGUUCGGGAGAGGUGAGUGGAACUGCGAGUGUAGAGGUGAAAUUCGUAGAUAUUCGCAAGAACACCAGUGGCGAAGGCGGCUCACUGGCCCGAUACUGACGCUGAGGUGCGAAAGCGUGGGGAGCGAACAGG
rnacentral:rRNA from 1 species